rnacentral:rRNA from 1 species
UAGUCUCGCACAGAUGCAUAUCAAUAAGCGGAGGAAAAGAAACUAACAAGGAUUCCCCUAGUAACGGCGAGUGGAGCGGGAAGAGCUCAAAUUUGAAAUCUUAAAGGGUUUCCCUUUACGAAUUGUAGUUUAAAGAAGUGUUUUCUGUUGAGGUUUUGGUAAAAGUUCUUUGGAAUAGGACAUCAUAGAGGGUGAGAAUCCCGUAUUUGACCUUUACUUUCAACUUUGUGAUACACUUUCAAAGAGUCGGAUUGUUUGGGAAUGCAGUCCAAAAUGGGUGGUAAAUUUCAUCUAAAGCUAAAUAUUGGCGAGAGACCGAUAGCGAACAAGUACCGUGAGGGAAAGAUGAAAAGAACUUUGAAAAGAGAGUUAAACAGUACGUGAAAUUGUCAAAAGGGAAGCGUUUGACACCAGUGUUGUUUUUCUGAAAAUCAAUUAAAGAACUGUUUAUGCUAAGCUGUUUAGACUUUAUCAGCUAACUGUUUAGUUUUGAGCUUUUCUUUAAUGCACUUUUCAGUUAACAAGUCAACAUCAAUUUCUUUUGCUGUAAAAAAGCUUGAGGAAGGUGGCUUGAGAUUCGUCUUAAGUGUUUAUAGCCUCUUGCCUAUGCAGUCGGAGAGAUUGAGGUCUGCAGCGUAGAUCCUUCGGGGCUAAAUGCAUUUGUGCUAAGUUAUAGCAUUUUAUAGGCAACUUGUUGACUAUGAUUUGUCUUGUAGCUUACUCGCUUAUGUUAUUUUACCUACGCUUAGGAUGUUGAGUAGCGACAUACGCAC